rnacentral:lncRNA from 1 species
CCUUUUUAUGCCUAGAGAGAAAAAGGAUCAAAGGGAGUAUCCCCUUCAACAAUACAGGAUUUAAAUCUAUUGAUCGUAGGGUCCUAACAGCCGAGAUCUCUAACAUUACACUUGAAUUUGCAUUUUGAUAAUUUAAACUACGUCCCGUAUUCAUGUAGCCUGAAUCUAAGCUACCAAAAAAAGAAAAACUUUUCUUAGUUGAAGAAGCCUUCCUUGAAUUGAAGACUUGAAGUUCGGGAGUUUGUUUUUUACUUAAAUGAGGACUGAAAAUUCAACAACAAUGGGACCAGAACUCAACCAUGAAAAGGGGCUUGAUGAAUCAGGUACACCUAAUAUAUAAUAUCAUACAAUACUCACUCUCUUCUCUUUUUAU